GACGUAGGGGGCCAGCGUUGUUCGGAAUUACUGGGUGUAAAGGGUUCGUAGGCGGUGUGGCAAGUCGGGAGUGAAAUCUCUGGGCUCAACUCAGAGACUGCUUCCGAAACUGCUGUGCUGGAGUGUGGGAGAGGCGCGUGGAAUUGCAGGUGUAGCGGUGAAAUGCGUAGAUAUCUGGAGGAAUACCGGUGGCGAAGGCGGCAUCCUGGACCAUAACUGACGCUGAGGCGCGAAAGCUAGGGGAGCAAACGGG
rnacentral:rRNA from 1 species